GCGGCAGUAGAGCAGCGGUUUAGCACGCUCCCCUGGAAAAGGUGAAAUCUGGGUUCGAAUCCCAGCUGAUGCG